CUCACUGUCGACAUGCAAGUUUAAAAUUAUACACAUGGAAACAUGGCUGUGUUUAUGGAUUCGAAUAUUAGCUACACAACCGAUAAAAAACGACUUCGGAAUGUUAUUGCAACAGCAGCGCACCGUAACUAUGUUUGAUCCUUUUCACAAUUGCAUAACUGUUUAACUAGCACAAACCUUUAUGCAUAAAGAAGACCAUGGCUGCCUGGAUAACGUUAUGUUAGCUAGCAGCUCACCGUAACUAGCUAUGUUUUUAUCUUCUCAUUUGCAAAACUGUUAAGCUUAACACUAAUUUCAGAUUCGUCUUUGCUAACGUCUACGCGCUAGUUCAUCGCUUGAGGCAACCCUCAAUAUGUCGUCGUACGAUGGACCAGAACUAGCUGAAAGAUGUCUUGAUUGAUUUGCUAAUCAAGUACUGUAACGUUUUCAUGUUUCAGUUGCAUACUCCACAGUUGCCAUCAAUUAUGUGGUUCAUUUGCAAUAAAAGAAACAGGUAGGCUCGGUGUUCCCUGUUUUAUAACUCGCCAAGUCAAGAGAGCUGUCCUCCCCUUUGUUAAUAACAUUUGUUUGCUUAUGUUUACAGGGAAUUGGCCAACCAAAAUGUGUCUCAGAGCUGUACGAUACAUUACCCGUAGUGCAGGUAAUGUGGAGUAAUGUUGAUGUAUAAGGUAAUACUUUUUCAUGAUGAUAACUAUCACAUUUCUCCAUGCAGUGGGAUAAUAACUAAAUAUUUUUUUUUUUGCACAGGGUAAAUCCAGAACAAUCAAGGUUUUAAACCGACUGACAGUUGUGGCCUCAGACCCAUCACACUUUGAGUCCAAUAUACACUGUGUAAAACAUUAGGAACACCUUUUGUAAUAUUGAGUCGACCUCUUUUGCCCAUAGAACAGCCUCAAUUCGUCAGAGCAUGGACUCUACACAAGGUGUCAAGCGUUCCACAGGAAUGAUGGCCAAUGUUGACUCCAAUUCUUCCCACAAUCAAAUUGGCUGGAUUUGGGUGGUGAACCAUUCUUGAUACACACGGGAAACUGUUGUGUGAAACCCAGAAUCAUUUCAAUUCUUGACACUCAAACCGGUGCGUCUGACACCUAACGUAAACUCACCCCAUUCCGUAUAAAUGUGUGCAACCACGACAUUCAAAAGAGGCUGCGAAGAAAACUAAUGGGACUUUAGCGACUGUGUUGACUUAAAAAUCUGGGGUGUGAACUACGUUUCUAUUCAAGCGUUGAUCGACAUGGUUUUAUGGCUCUAUAGUAUUGGAGAAAAGUUGAGAACUGACCCUCCGUUACAUCAUGACGUGUCAUGCUGUAACGUACAGCACGCGUAAAGCAACUAUUUCUGUCUUACAAUCUCUCCACCAGGUGUAGCACUUCUUUCAUCGUUUAAAAACAAGAAAUGGACAGUGACGGAGGUAAGGGGGAUACCUAGUCAUUUUUUGCGUCGUCACUGUAAACGAUCAUUACUCUCAAAAGACAAUGUUUACUUCUGAAGAUCACUUUAGCACCGCCCUAAAAACCCGAUUCAAAUUCGACACAGACCUUCAAAUAGGUAUGUAAUGACCCAUUAUAUUAACUCUUUAUAGUGUUUUAUUUACAUUUUAGAGGCGAUAAGGUGAUAAAUUGGACAGAUCGAGUGAAAAAAGGCCGUUUCCCCACAGGUGAUCUCUCCUUCUCACUAUCACGCAUUAGUUUCGCUUCCCCACCCGCCAUUUUUAAAAAGACCCGACGGGGCUCAUUGCCUUCUUGAAUUAUGCAGAAACGGGCAGCGUGAAGGUCAUGUAAUUUAUUUUGUUGGAAAGGGGAGAAAUUGUGCUUUACUAUGGUAUUAACAUUACAAUUGAUCUGGAAGUAUUAUGUUUUUGGGGCGCUAAAAUAAGGUCAAUGGUACGGACCAAGGCGAUGUACAAAAGUGAGUUUGUUACUACCAUAUUUUAUUCAAAGGCACUUAAAUCUUUUCUUGCCCAUACACCCUCUGAAUGGCACACAUACAAUCCAUGUCUCAAGGCUUAAAAAUCCUUUUUGACUGUUUUCCUUCCAAUUUUAAGUGGAUUUAACAGGUGACAUCAAUAAGGGAUCAUGUCUUUCAGCUGGUCAGUCUGUCAUGGAAUGAACAAGUGUUCCUAAGGUUUUGUAUACUCUGUGUGCAGUAGAAGUUUAAACAUUUGCUGUAUUCAUAUUCAUAUUGCAUGAUUCUUCAAAUAACAUCUGUCCCUUCCCAGAGACCAACUGCAGAGUACAAAGCCUAUGACUUAGUGGCUGUCUAUCCUAAAACAGAGAAGUUGUUUCAUGCAGCUUGCAUGACAUUCGAUGUUGACAUCAUCUGUGUAGCAGUGACAGAAAAACAGCCCUUCUCCAGUAAAUGGGAGGUGUGUUCUUUGAAAUAAGUUACGCACCUGCAAUCCGAGACUCCACCAUGAGAAGAUACACCAUCGCAAAUUCCAUCAGUCUCGUGGAGAUGUGCAAAGGAAAGAAUGUAAUUGUGACGAGCGGUGCAGAAAAGUCCCUUGAAUUGAAGGGACCCUACGACAUUGGCAGCUUGUAUCCUUACAUGACCUUCUACAGUACUUGAUGUAGGCUACUAGAAUAGAGUGCAGACUUAUGCAGGUGUGAUGAGGCCAACCUGUGUCCGUGCUGUUAUCCUGAAUGAGUUUUUGGCCUGUCCGAAGGAGAUGGCAAAUCUGCAAUCUCCACCAACUGUCGCGCUGUCCACUUACAUGGAGAAACAAGAAAGACUGCCUUGGGUAUUGUACACACUGAAGAAAGAGCAGCCAUUGAGAGACAGGAGGAUGUUCCAGCCUCAGAGGGCUAAGAUUGAGACUGCAUAGUAGAAAGUAAAAUACUUUUGGAUGAAUAGAGAAUGUGUUUAUGUAAAUGCCCUUUUAUGAAUAUCUUUGUGUUAAUGUGACUGUUUUCUAAUGGUCAGUGGUUAUAUAGUUUGUCAUGGAUUAGCAACUAUGAUGAUGCUUGUUCCUUUUAGACAAAGGAAUCAAAUUCAGAUAGCAAAGGCAAUGCUGUCUAUUUAAUACAUUUACAGGUAAACAUGUAGUGGAAACAUUGCAGUUACUUCAGGAAGUGUAUUAAUACUACACAAGCAUUUUUAAAUCCUGUAUUCUCACUGACUACCACAAAACCAGGUUGAAGCCACAGGCUUGCUUUCUGCGGAACAGUAUUGUUUUGUGAAUAUCUUUUUAUAUUAAAGAGGAAUUAAGAAUGUA